rnacentral:rRNA from 1 species
UACGUAGGGGGCAAGCGUUGUCCGGAUUUAUUGGGCGUAAAGAGCGUGUAGGCGGCCGCACAGGUCCGUUGUGAAAACUGGAGGCUUAACCUUCAGACGUCGAUGGAAACCGUGCGGCUAGAGUCCGGAAGAGGAGAAUGGAAUUCCUGGUGUAGCGGUGAAAUGCGCAGAUAUCAGGAGGAACACCAAUUGCGAAGGCAGCUCGCUGGGACGUUACUGACGCUGAGACGCGAAAGCGUGGGGAGCAAACGGG